rnacentral:rRNA from 1 species
AUACGUAGGGUGCAAGCGUUAAUCGGAAUUACUGGGCGUAAAGCGUGCGCAGGCGGUUUUGUAAGACAGUGGUGAAAUCCCCGGGCUCAACCUGGGAACUGCCAUUGUUACUGCAAGGCUGGAGUGCGGCAGAGGGGGGUGGAAUUCCGCGUGUAGCAGUGAAAUGCGUAGAUAUGCGGAGGAACACCGAUGGCGAAGGCGAGCCCCGGUGGCUGACCUGACGCUAAUACACGGAAACGUGGGGGGAAAACAGGAUUAGAGACCCUGGUAGUCCACGCCCUAAACGAUGUCAACUGGUUGUUGGAGAUUUAGUUUCUCAGUACCGAAGCGAACGCGUGAAGUUGACCGCCUGGGGAGUACGGCCGCAAGGUUAAAACUCAAAUGAAUUGACGGGG